CGACCGGCUGGGGAGUUCGGCCGCAAGGUUAAAACUCAAAUGAAUUGUCGGGGGCCCGCACUAGCGUUGGAGCAUGUGGUUUAAUUCGAUUCAACGCGAAGAACCUUACCUGGUAUUGACAUCCACAGAACUUUCCAGAGAUGGAUUGGUGCCUUAGGGAACUGUGAGAAAGGAUCUGCAUGGAUGUCGUCAGCUCGUGUUGUGAAAUGUUGGGUUAAGUCCAGCAACUAGCGCAACCCUU
rnacentral:rRNA from 1 species